UGGUCUAUGGUGUAAUGGUAACACAACUGUUUUUGGUGCAGUCGUUCAAGGUUCGAGUCCUUGUAGACCAACAA
rnacentral:tRNA from 14 species